rnacentral:lncRNA from 1 species
GCGUCUCCAAAGCUGCGUGCCUAGUGUUGCUGUGUAGUUUAGAACCGGAGCAGUAGGACCCAGGGGCCUCCGCAGCCACCAAUAGAAGCGCACACUUGGACCUAUUUGUAUGCAAUGCCUUCUGCUCUGCGCAUUAAUAGUAAUACAGAUAACGGGUUUGAAAGAAUUCUCUACCGAAGAAGGAUUGAAUUUUUCCAGGGUGCUGAUACCGAGAAGAAACCCGACUUCACUCUCUCCCCAUUUUCCCACUCUUAGGUUGAAAAGUCUCAGACACCUUUCGCUUGGUUUAAACUCGGAAAGGUCUCAGUGCACAGCAAAGUUGGAGGGGCUGCGUCUGCACUACGGCGCCGCUAGAUCGCUGAAAACGGGCUUAUCCAAGGAUUUCAGCAUGUCCAGGAAAGAGAGAAUCUCAGCCUGA